rnacentral:rRNA from 1 species
GACAGAGGAGCCAAGCGUUGUCCGGAUUGACUGGGCGUAAAGCGCACGCAGGCGGACUGGCGCGUGGGGUGUGAAAGCUGGAGGCUUAACUGCCAGUCGCCAUCCCAUACGGCUAGUCUGGAGCCUUGCAGAGGGCGGUGGAAUUGCCGGUGUAGUGGUGAAAUGCGUAGAGAUCGCCAGGAACACCCAGGGGGAAACCAGCCGCCUGGGCAAGCGCUGACGCUGAGGUGCGAGAGCGUGGGGAGCGAACCGG